UUUUUUUUUUUUUGUGUGUGUGUGUGUCAAGUUCAUUUAGUUGGUUGAUCUUCUCAGCUCUAUGACCUCCUAGUAGAUGAUAAUGUUUUAUGUCUGAUUUAACCCGGCAUGACAGGCAGCUAUUUUCCACAUGGCUUUACAAAGUGUUGAUCCUCUAUUCAUCUUUGGAUUUCCAUGACCUGUUCUCGCUUUGUGUCCCUGUUUUAGAUCAGCACAACUCACAAAUAGAUUACAGAUCAAACAUUCCAAUGAACAUUCAUAAAGUACGAAAUUUGCUCUAAUUCAGAGGUUUGAUAAACAAUUCAGCUAGUUGGUUUUUAGUACCCACAUGUUCAAUAGCUAUCAAUUUCUCCUCAACCAGUUUGCGAAUAUAACUAUGUUGAUGAUCUAUGUGCUUAGUACGAGACUUUCUAACAGGUUCUUUGAAACAACUUAUAACACUAUAAUUAUUGCAAAGUAUUAACAGAACAUCAGAAAUCAUACCACACUCCUCUGUGAGUUGUUUCACCCGUAUGAGUUGAGCACUCGAACUUUUUUAAAGCACUGAGUUCUGCUUCAGCAGUUGAUAGGACCAACCUUUUCUGCUUCUUGCUCUUCCAAGACACCAUGUUGUUUCCAAUGAAGUAGCAUCCACCAUGUUGUUUCCAAUGAAGUAGC
rnacentral:sRNA from 1 species